rnacentral:rRNA from 1 species
GAGUUUGAUCGUGGCUCAGAUUGAACGCUGGCGGCAUGCCUUACACAUGCAAGUCGAACGGCAGCAUGAUCUAGCUUGCUAGAUUGAUGGCGAGUGGCGAACGGGUGAGUAAUACAUCGGAACGUGCCCUGUAGUGGGGAGUAACUAGUCGAAAGAUUAGCUAAUACCGCAUACGACCUGAGGGUGAAAGUGGGGGACCGGCGAAGGCCUCAUGCUAUAGGAGCGGCCGAUGUCUGAUUAGCUAGUUGGU